GGGUUGUGAGGUUAAGCGACUAAGCGUACACGGUGGAUGCCCUGGCAGUCAGAGGCGAUGAAGGACGUGCUAAUCUGCGAUAAGCGCCGGUAAGGUGAUAUGAACCGUUAUAACCGGCGAUUUCCGAAUGGGGAAACCCAGUGUGACUCGUCACACUAUCAUUAACUGAAUCCAUAGGUUAAUGAGGCGAACCGGGGGAACUGAAACAUCUAAGUACCCCGAGGAAAAGAAAUCAACCGAGAUUCCCCCAGUAGCGGCGAGCGAACGGGGAGGAGCCCAGAGCCUGAAUCAGCAUAUGUGUUAGUGGAAGCGUCUGGAAAGGCGCGCGAUACAGGGUGACAGCCCCGUACACAAAAGCGCAUGUGCUGUGAGCUCGAUGAGUAGGGCGGGACACGUGGUAUCCUGUCUGAAUAUGGGGGGACCAUCCUCCAAGGCUAAAUACUCCUGACUGACCGAUAGUGAACCAGUACCGUGAGGGAAAGGCGAAAAGAACCCCGGCGAGGGGAGUGAAAAAGAACCUGAAACCGUGUACGUACAAGCAGUGGGAGCCCCACCACUAAGCCAGUGGUGAACUCCACAUACGCAUCCUUUGCUGAGGAUACGGUUAACGGAGCGCAAGCGACGUUCAACCGCAAAAGAAGCAGAGGGGGCUUAGUGGUGGGGUGACUGCGUACCUUUUGUAUAAUGGGUCAGCGACUUAUAUUCUGUAGCAAGGUUAACCG
rnacentral:rRNA from 2 species